CAACUGGUCUUUGAAAACAAAUGCCAGCUCAACAUCCUGUGAAAGGUUUCCUGUUGCACUUGGUACAGAAGUCUCAAAUGCUUACUCUGGCAUGAAGGCCUUCAUGGCUGGGCUCUGCCUACCUGCUCACCGGGCCCUAUCCCAGCACCCUGCAGCCUCUGUUUCUGAGGCCCAGGCCUGUUACCUGCUGUCUCCACACCUCGAUCACUUCACAGCCUGACCCCACUCUACCCCUUACGCCAUCUCACCUGUCCUUUUAGCUUCAAAUUGUUUCCUCUGAGAUUUCCUUCGAAAUCAGCUGUUGUGGCAUCAAGAAGGCUGCUCGAGAUGAGGUCAAGAGAGUAGCUGCUAAUGAUGAACUGAACUUUUGGAAGGAUUGUCCAUUACAACUGCCUGAUAUUUCAACUACAGAAACCCACUCCUCCAGAAUGACACCAUCAGCCACUUUAAGAACAUUGCUCUUGGAGAAUGUCCUCAAGUGUUCAGUAUUGUCUAGCUGUUUCUGAAGUUUUUAUCCACCCAGAAGCUAGGCAAGUACUAACUCAAAUUUAGGCAUGGGCAGAGGGUUCAGGGGCAGAAGACAUAUGAAAAGGCCACUAGACAAUGAUCCAAGGCAAAUUCAGUUGUCCAACCUAGCUUGAUUCUGAAGGAAGCCAUUGUGAGGUACAUGACAUAGGAAGGUUACAGGGCUCAUCUUGUGGGUUCUCUGGGGUUGGAGUCAACUGUACACCUCAACCUAUUUCUCAUACAUCCUCACAGCCAUUCACCCAGUUCACAGUUUAGCAAGUGUUAUGAGUGUUGGCAUCAGUCUCAGAGUAAAAAUGGCCAUGCCUGGGGCUGUCACACCUGUUCUAACCUGUUCAGAGCAACUUAUGCUUUUCUGGAAUUAAAAGUCUGCUUGAGUCUGCUGAAACUUGCUGUGACCUUUGGACUGCAGGAAGAAAUCACUAAAGCUGACUGGACAAAAAUUAUUGUGUCCAGAAUGAGUUUACAAUGCUAUGAAGCAGUGGUGGGGUGUUCUCUGUCUAAAUGAAAUUAGGAGCAUAGUAGAACUGUUGAAAAGCUUACAGCAAGUAAAUUUUUAUUUCUAUGUAUCUGCCAUCUUUGUCCCUGGUUUUAGAUUAGUUAAGUAUAUCUUACUUCUUUUUAAAUAUCCCUGUCUCUCAGUCAGACCAUUCCAACAGUCAGCAAAAGCCAAUCCUAUGCCAACCCAUCCACAGCAUUGUCCCUGGUCUGUGAUGAGGGAAGUAUAUAUUUAGCACUGUCUGAAUUCCUUUAUUCUACUCCUGGCGGGUCAAAUAGUACUUUUACCUGUGGCUCCUUCUGUAGUGGCCUGUCAUGGCCAGGACUUUGCAUUGUGUUUCUAGAUAUCACAAGUAAUUGAGCUGUUGGAGUAAAUUUUUCCAUUGUGUCAGUUCUGAGAAGAAAGUUAUUUCUGUGCUCUGCUAUAUUUAAGGCAUUGCAUGCCUGUUUAUUCUUGGCAAAAUAAGCAAUUAGGGUUAGUUAUCUGAAAAUAAUAAGAUAAUUUAAAAAAUAAAUAAAAAGAUAAAUAAGAUGAAAUAGUAAGAAAAUAAUAAGCCUGCUCAAUUGGUUUGAGUUAAUCUGCUUGCAUCUUCAGUGCCUGGUUUAAUGGGAAAUGUGAGCAUUACAGUUUUCCAGGUAAAUAAAUGAAGCACAGGAAAGAAAAGCUCACCUGUUAAAUGCUUUAAUUGCCCAAGAUUGACCACUAAAAUUUGGCUCCAAAUAUGAGACUAUUUUAAGUAACUGUUUUAUAUAUUAGUGAGCUUUUUGAUUCAUUCCUUCUUAUCUAUAAUGCCAAAGAAUGCACUUCAGUUGAUGAUGUUAGGGAAUUAAAAUACACCAAAACUUUUAAUUUAGGAAUAUUUAGAUAAAUACUAAAGUUCUUUAAUCUUUGGGUUGGUUUUGAGAGCACUACAAUUGUAUUAUAUAUGAAAUUAUAAACUGUCAUGGUAUGAACAUGUCUGGGUUUUAAAUUUGCUAUAACAGUUGAUUAAUUUUUUAUGAGAGUGGUUAAUUAUGACUCUG
ensembl:lncRNA